UACGUAGGGGGCGAGCGUUGUCCGGAAUUACUGGGCGUAAAGAGCUCGUAGGUGGUUUGUCGCGUUGUUCGUGAAAACUCACAGCUCAACUGUGGGCGUGCGGGCGAUACGGGCAGACUAGAGUACUGCAGGGGAGACUGGAAUUCCUGGUGUAGCGGUGGAAUGCGCAGAUAUCAGGAGGAACACCGGUGGCGAAGGCGGGUCUCUGGGCAGUAACUGACGCUGAGGAGCGAAAGCGUGGGGAGCGAACAGG
rnacentral:rRNA from 1 species